rnacentral:rRNA from 1 species
GACGAACGCUGGCGGCGUGCUUAACACAUGCAAGUCGAACGAAGAGCGAUGGAAGCUUGCUUCUAUCAAUCUUAGUGGCGAACGGGUGAGUAACGCGUAAUCAACCUGCCCUUCAGAGGGGGACAACAGUUGGAAACGACUGCUAAUACCGCAUACGAUCUAAUCUCGGCAUCGAGGAUAGAUGAAAGGUGGCCUCUACAUGUAAGCUAUCACUGAAGGAGGGGAUUGCGUCUGAUUAGCUAGUUGGAGGGGUAACGGCCCACCAAGGCGAUGAUCAGUAGCCGGUCUGAGAGGAUGGACGGCCACAUUGGGACUGAGACACGGCCCAGACUCCUACGGGAGGCAGCAGUGGGGAAUCUUCCGCAAUGGACGAAAGUCUGACGGAGCAACGCCGCGUGAGUGAUGACGGUCUUCGGGUUGUAAAGCUCUGUUAAUCGGGACGAAAGGCCUUCUUGCGAAUAGUGAGAAGGAUUGACGGUACCGGAAUAGAAAGCCACGGCUAACUACGUG